GACGAACGCUGGCGGCGUGCUUAACACAUGCAAGUCGAACGGAAAGGCCCUUCGGGGUCCUCGAGUGGCGAACGGGUGAGUAACACGUGGGUGAUCUGCCCUGCACUUUGGGAUAAGCCUGGGAAACUGGGUCUAAUACCGAAUAGGACCACGCGCUUCAUGGCGUGUGGUGGAAAGCUUUUGCGGUGUGGGAUGGGCCCGCGGCCUAUCAGCUUGUUGGUGGGGUAAUGGCCUACCAAGGCGACGACGGGUAGCCGGCCUGAGAGGGUGACCGGCCACACUGGGACUGAGAUACGGCCCAGACUCCUACGGGAGGCAGAAGUGGGGAAUAUUGCACAAUGGGCGCAAGCCUGAUGCAGCGACGCCGCGUGAGGGAUGACGGCCUUCGGGUUGUAAACCUCUUUCACCAGGGACGAAGCGUAAGUGACGGUACCUGGAGAAGAAGCACCGGCCAACUACGUG
rnacentral:rRNA from 1 species